rnacentral:misc_RNA from 1 species
UUGAAAUAAACCUGAUGAGUUGCUGCUGGUUCUCUAGGGAGCAUGUGCACACUUGUCAUCUUUAUAUCUCCACCUGUGCACCUUUUGUAGACCUGGAUAUCUCUCUGAAUGCUAGUCACUCAGGUUUGAGGAUUGACUUUAUGUCUCUCCUUGCAUUUCCAGGCCUAUGUUUCUUUAUAUACCCAAUGUAUGUCAUAGAAUGUAAUCAAUGGGCCUUUGUGCCUAUAAACCUAUA